rnacentral:rRNA from 1 species
CUGCUGCCUCCCGUAGGAGUUUGGGCCGUGUCUCAGUCCCAAUGUGGCCGGUCACCCUCUCAGGUCGGCUACUGAUCGUCGCCUUGGUGGGCCGUUACCCCGCCAACCAGCUAAUCAGACGCGGGUCCAUCUCAUACCACCGGAGUUUUUCACACCAGGACAUGCAUCCCUGUGCGCUUAUGCGGUAUUAGCAGUCAUUUCUAACUGUUAUCCCCCUGUAUGAGGCAGGUUACCCACGCGUUACUCACCCGUCCG